CACAUAUGAGUUGGUUUUCCUUACUUAAAAUAUGCUUAUCAUCCCUUGGAGCACUUGAAAAUAUUGGCUAUUUCCUUCUGACCCCCAUGGUUUCUUUUAAAAAAUUUGCUGUUGUUUGAAUUAUUUUUCUCUACAGGUAUUGACUGCUGCCUCAUGAAGGCUGGUCCUGUCUCUAUAGUGAAUAUUGUGCACCUCAGGGUAGAAUGGAGAGCAGAAGACUUCAAAUCAGGCAGUCUGGGUUCAGACCCCAAUUCUAGUGCUAAAUAGCUACGUGACUUUAGGCCGAUUGUGUGUGACUUCCCUGAGCCCCAGUCUCUUUGCCUGCAAAAUGAGAAAAAUUAUAACAAUGUCAUCGGUUGUUCUGAGGAUUCUGAGAGGAAUUAGUAGGAGAGAGAACUAAGAAGCUGCGGGCCUCUACAGAGCCAUUCAACUGGCAUUUCGGAAGAUGUUGCCCAUCAGAGUCAGACCUUCUUAGCAUCUUCCGGCUGGGCCCAAACUUCCCAAGACCAUUUGGACAAGGUCAUCUCUAUCCCACCAUGGCCUCCUCCCAGAGGAGGAGAAGAAUCAUGCUGUUACAGCAGAACCGAAGAUUUGGGCAAGGGAGCUAAUGAUUAUGUU
rnacentral:lncRNA from 1 species